rnacentral:siRNA from 1 species
UUGGAAUAUGUGUGCCCAAA